CAGGCGAGCUGAACACAUUGCCUUUCUCCCACAUGCUCUUGAUGUUUCGUAUGCUGUCGGUGACCAUGGGCAGAUCCACGGCUCCGGAGCGAGGGGAUCGAGACUCCUUGUUCUCUCUCUGCUGGGACAAAACAGUGGGUUUGAACUGCCGAAUAGUUCUUUCAAGCUUCUUUUAAAAAAAAAAAAAAAAAAAAAAACCUCAUGAGCUUGCUAAUGCUUUGGUCUGCCUUCAAAGUGGAAUGAGAACUAUUACCGAUGAAGCCCUGGGUGUUCAAAUCAACAGAGAAACAUGUUGGACGUGACUUUAAAAAAAAGUAUAAGCAUGAGGGAGCAAAGUGCUGUUUCCAACUGGGCAACUUAUAGACCCAAAGUGACAAGAAGAUUGGAAUCAGAUCUGGAAGUUCUUUAUGUGGCCUAAUUAAAGUUAUUCUCUGGCUUUGGUCCUGCUAUCUGAUUAGUCGGACCAAAACAAAUAAAUGUGCAAAGGCAUUUAAGUUAAUCAGUAACUCUGAAAAAAGCCCGAUAAAGGGACAGAAAAGCUCUUUAUCAGGGUAAACUUUAUACAUGUAGCCUUCUUUAUUCCUUGUAGUUGACCAUUAGCACAUAAAUGCAUGUUAUUUUAAAGCAUGUCGAGGUAGAUAGAGGUAAAAACAGCAUCUUCUUUUGUUUUUUAUGUGUUACGGCCAGGGUUUUUUAAAUACUGCACAGCAUUGGGCCAAAUGCUUAAAUAUAAACUAAUUACAAACCACUUUAUUGCUUAUAUUGUGCCACAGAUGUUGAUCUUUUGCUAACCUGAGCAGCUGAGGUGUACUGCUCCAGCCUGUUGUCUAUCUUGGACACCACCGGAGAAUGAGACGUCUUCACUGUGCUGCUGGGCAGAAGCAAGUAAUUAGCAAACAGUACAUGAAAAAUGAGACCGCUUUGAAUAUUAUACUGCACAUACAUUAUAUACAAUUUGGUCUUUAGUUCCUAGACUGCAGACGCUCAAGAGGGAAUUAAAGCUUCGGCUCUGGAUUAACUUUCUUCCUAUUCAGCAAAACAGCAGUGCUGAAAAAGCUUUGUUAGUGGGACACAAAAUGACUAAAAUGAUGAUGCUUAAGUUGUAUUUUUACCUUUUCUGCGCCGAUUUGUUCAGGAACUCUGCUCUCUCUCCAAUCUGUGGAGAAAAGGUUCGAAAGGCAGCGGGUUAUAAAUAUUGCAGCAGCGUUCCACUAGCGCAUAAAUCACUGCAACACUUUUAACAGAUGUUAAAUGCAGCUUUUCUUUUGAUUUCUGUACAUCUAUUUCUUUGUUAUUGUGCGCACGAACCCAUCUCUGACUUCAGCCACUAUUCAGACACACAUAUGAUUCAAAGUAAUUACUGGGUUUUCAUGAUUUAUAGCUGAAAUAGCAAUUAUGCUCUAACUCUCUGUGCAAUAAUCCAUUUGACCAAACAAAACUGAAUUUUUAUAAUAGUCAAUAUGUCAUUUUGUCUCAUUUUUUUAAUAUGCUUAACAAUUUCUCUUUACCACAACUGUGUUCACAAUGCUAUGAAAGACAUGCACACACACAUAGAAAGAGGAAAAAAAACACAGCAAGCUUUUUCCUAUCUCUGCCUUUGGACUGUGGGAAUCUCAGAGGAUUGUUUAUGAUAUACGACUUAAAGGCUAAAAGAGGGGGCAGCACAUGCGUUCCUUAUAUGCACACGCACACACAAAUAAAACCUUUAAAUGGACUAACUAAAGAAGAAGCGGAAGAAAAAAGCUCCCUGUGAAAAAAGGACCAUGUGUUCAGCUGCUACCGAAUGUGGGAGUUCCCAAAAAUACUCCUCGACAGGAAAUUCCCCAUUCUCAGACGCGUUUUAAAGAGCUGUAGCCAUCCGAACGCAGUUACAGUAAUCCUGUUAACCCUAAUCGCUUUCCUGCAUAUCCCUGCCGCCUGUCCUUCAUUUCGUCCCUCUGUCCUCCUCUGCCAGACAACACAGCGCUUUAUCUACACCACAGAGCCGGGUUAUGCUGGUAUAGUGCUGAUAACAUGAAGGCGAGCUCUUGGGACCAUGUGUUCCACUGGGAGCUGAUUCCUGAUAGCGAGGCAUAUCUUUCUGUGUUUUAGUGUAACCGGAGCCACAAAAUGGCAGUUUUCAGUAGUAAAAAAAAAACAAAAACAUAACACACAACGGCAAAAAGGAAAGAGCGAAGAAAAAAUGUUCUCAAAUGGCGUGCAUGUAAUUUUGAAAUCUGAAAUAGGCUUUUGACAGGUUGAAGGGGCAUGAAAUUCACUCAGCACAUAAAUUGAGCAAGAAAUUGUUCAAUUUAUGUGAGAAGUACAAGAAAACACAUCUAUUUGCUCUUGUGCAGUUUUUAUGUGUAGCUACAAGAAACAGAUUUGAGUCGCUUGUUAUAUGUUCUUUACACUUAGGAGAUUAUUACACCCCUACUGCGUGCUACAAUUGAAAAAACGGUGAUAUUUAAACUUUUUAGAGCUGCAGUAGUCAAUAUUUUAGAUUAACAUUUAAAAUUACUUUGUGUAAUGUGAAACUCACUGCUCUGUGAAGCAUUUUAGGUUAUUUUUAGUCUACUGUUUUGGUUUUAACAGCUCUUAUCUUUAUUGUUUUGGUUCUUUCCUGCUGCUCUCACACAGCAGGGACUUGUUUUCAGUCUAAGAGGCAUGUCAAACCCAUGAUAUGCUACCUAAGUAUUCUAUCACCAAACAGACUAGCUUGGAAACGUAUUUAGCAGCUGCAUAUUUGUCCUAAGAGGUGAUGGAGACCAAAAACUGAGCCAAAACAAGGAUGAAUAUAGGAUUGCAUUCAACAAGUGGCAAAAAACACCACCAUAAGUGAAUGCUAAUGUUGCUACGUGUCUGCUGGAUGUGCAAAUUAGCAAACAUUUGGGACCACAUAUCAACGAUAUGAGGAGAAUAUUACAGCUCAACUGACAUUAAAGCUUAUUUCUAAAAAAACAGAAUGCAGGAAAAGAGACAUGGGAUAAGUUAACUGCUCCAACGCAAGUAGCGUAAACAGUCAGUGGUACGGAGUAAAGGUUUGUUAAAUACUUUUAAUUGCUGGAAAGUUAGUAAACGAUUCCAUCAGAGUAUUUUUUUCCGAAAAAACCUGCUAACUUUCAUGUCACUCUUGUUUAAAUGACGUGUUUGCUAUGUUAGCGAGGUAGCUAGCCGCCUACAGUUUGUCAGUAAAGCACGUAGCAGAUUGAAAUGUUAGCUUCAGAGCAUCUUUUCUCUUCUGCUGUUCAACAGAAACUUGUGCUUAUCAAACUCCUAAACCACUUAGCACCUGUCACAGCUUGUAAAGUGGAGGCUAAUUUGUUAGCAUCAAGCCUAUGCUCACUUUACAUGAUAGCAUUAAUAUGACUCUAUCUAAUGCUAACGUUGCAUGUAUAAACUGUUCAGAGCUUACAGAUUAUUAUGCUGUUUUUAUGUAUUUAAAUAUAUUGAUAAAUUCAUCAUCAGUGAACAUUAAGCUAUUCAGAAUAGAACAUGCAAGGCAAACAAGUUUGGUUCUAGCUCAGAUGUACAGGUCAGUUAAUGUGCCACAGAUUACUUAUUUAUAUGCGUAACAUCUGUGUUUUCUUUUACAGCAUUCCAAUUUCUUUACUUUAUGACAUCAAUAUCAGCAUCAGCCAAAAACAGCUCAAGUAAAUAUGCUAAUAUUGCAUUUUACAGCUUCUCCUGCUGCCACUACAUGAAUGGAAAAACUAUACAACUGUGAAACAGAGCAGAAUAGAUCAGGUUGGAUAACACACACCCCGGACAAUGUCUUUUUGACACCCUCCCCUCUGGCAGGCUCAGGGUCAUGAGGGCACGGACAGAAAGACUGAAAAACAGCUUUUCCCCCGGGGCUAUAAAAGCCAUAUUGUAAGCCUGAGCUGGACUUGCACUUUACACCCUGCAUUGUACAUUACCCCUGUCCUUUAUAGUCCUGUCCAUUUAACUCUUUUAGAGUUUAUUCCUUUUUAAAAAUUUAUUAUUUAUGAAGAGCUAUUGUUUACACUAUCUAUCUAUCUAUCUAUCUAUCUAUCUAUCUAUCUAUCUAUCUAUCUAUCUAUCUAUCUAUCUAUCUAUCUAUCUAUCUAUCUAUCCUUUCUGUACUGUACUACAGCUGUAUUAUUUGUUCUAUAAACACACAUAAAAACUUAACCCUCAUGUUGUCUUCAUUUACAGGCACCCAAAAAUAUUGCUUCCUUGUCUGAAAAAAAUCCAAAAAUUCAGCAAAAAAAAUCCCCAAAUUUCUGAAAAUUUGCAAAACCUUCAGGAAGAAAAUUCCAAUAAUUCCUUAAAAGUUUCCCUUAAAAGUUUUAUUAAAAAAAAAAAAAAAAUCCCCCAAAUGUGGCAAGAAAGUUCUUGUAAAUAUUUUCAAAAAAUGAGUAAAAAUCUUUAAAAAAAAAAAAAAAAAAAAGUCCUAAAAAUAUCUAAAAUGAUUACAUAUAUAUCAGUAAAACUUCUAAUAUUUUCUUUAAGAACAUUCACAUAAAAAUCAACCAAAAUCCAGCGAAUUUUUUUGUGUGAAUGUUCUUAAGAAAUAUUUUCAACAUUUCUUUUUUGCCACCAAAAAAUGUUCAACAACUUCCCAAAAAUGUUGAAAAUGUGGACAUUAGAAGUUUCACUGUGAAAAUAUCUAUUUUUUCCACAUUUUCAAACUUUAAAAUGGGUCAAUUUUGACCCGCAGGACGACACGAGGGUUAACAUAUAGCACUGCAAAGAGUUCAUACACAAAUGUUUUUGCGCAUGAAAUGGGCGACAGACACACACACUCUCAGCUGUACGUACAGUGAACAUGACGACAAAGUAAAGCUGCGUCUGUGCGGCGAGUUCAGCAGGUUGAGAGAGAAUUAAAACAACAUUAUUCACAAAAGUGACCACAAACAAACAACGCACUGGAUUCUGGUCCGAUCACAGAUCACACACUAUUACAGCCAAAGCUCGACUCUGGAGUCUCACUGGGACGAGCCAGAUGGAUGUUACAGCUAACUGUCACUAAUUAGAUUUUCUCCACUGGCUGAAAAUUCCCCUUGAUUUUCAGUGUGUGGGAGUUGGCUUUUGGCAACACUGGAGACAUUUAUUCACAUUUGAGUUGAUUAAACGUUCCUUCGCCGUGACAAACAUUUAUCUUCGGACGAGGCCGGGAGGGGCGAGCUGGGUGGAUUCUGGCUGAUCUUUGGUUGUGCAUUUCUUGCAGCAAACAGGUUAACAUGUCGGCAAAAUCACAUCAAUUACGAUUUCCUUUCUCCAGCAGUUGACUUGUGCACAUCUCUCUCAGUUCACCGAGUCGCUUUCCAUUUCUGACCGCUCCUUCAUCUCAGUCAGAUAACACUUCAUGCAGAAAGCUAAAAGAGGUGAGUGGUGCAGAUGCGGGUCAUCUGGCACUUAAUCUCUCCAAAUAUUUUGAAUGUUUAGCUUAAGCUUUGCUGCGCUGCCGGAUGAGUGGGAUUUGGAGAACUAUAAUAUUGACUCCAUUGUGCUGACAACUGUGCUGGAACCGAUGCAAAUACAGCAAAGGACAGCAAAAAAAGUACAACAGUCACAAGCACUGUUCCCUCGAAGCUGCGCGCGUGCGCAAUUGCGCACUGCUGACGGUCUCCCCGCACAGAAAAUCUGCGCUGCACAAAAAAAAAAAAAAAAAAAAAAAAAUCCAACCUAAAUUGUAAAUAAAAUAAACACGUAACAAUUCAUUCUGUGCUAUUUUUCAGUGUGAGUCAGUGAGUGACCGGUGACUGGCUGCUGCAGCCAAUGAUGCGAUUCACAUACGUAUUUACCAUAGACUGUAUAUAAUGGUAUUUACGCAGCUAAUCAACGUCAGGCGUCCUUAUGUGCAGCCACCAUUGUUGUCAUAGAUAUGAAUGAGUAGAUAGGACACGCCCCUUUGAGCUGCGUGCUACUGCGAGGCUAAGCUAGUGGGGGAAAAGUUUCAGUGCAUUCUGUUGAUGUAGACGGCGUGAAAACGGAAACAAGUAUGCCGGCUCACUGUGCUGCAUACAAUUACACACUACGUCGUACGAUUGAGACAAGGAAACUUGGAAUGACUUUUCAUAGGUAAGAAUAGUUUUCGGCUCUUUUUUCAUUAUGAAAUCUUCUUGAGAGCUUCCAGUCUAUGAGAGCUAACUAGUUAGCCACUAGCAAAACGCUAAGGCGAGCUAGCAGCUUGACAACCAAAUACCAGACGAUUAAUAGUAGCUGUAGUAUAGUUGUACAAUCAGUAGUAGUAAUACUAAAAGUACAAGCAGCAGUAGUAGUAUAAACAGCUGUUAGAGUUGUAGAAGUAGUAUCAGCAUUUGUAAUAGUACAAUACUUAUAAAGCCUAACUCAUGUAUAUCCAGAUUACAAUCUUUCUUUCUCCAAACCCAUUUUAUGAUUGGAUUACAGGCAGUUCUUUAGGACUGCUCUCAAAUAAUUGAAAUGUUACUAAAGAAGGUUAUACUUAUUAAAUUAAAUAGCUCUGGUCUCCAGUAUAUUGGCGAAUUCGGUUCUUUGUACUUAAUUUAUUAGCAUGAUUUCUUUUUAAUAUGUUGUGUACAGACUUAAUUACUUCUCUGUCUACUUUUCUUACUCCACGUAGGUUUCCCAGAGACUAUGGGUUGAGGAGGAAUUGGAAGUUUGUCGGCUUAGACCUGGUGUCAUUCCAUAAGUGUUAAACUUCCCGGCUCAUCUUGGAAGAGUACGUGCCAGAAAGACCACAACCAAGCAGCCUUGAGAUCUUAGGCAGCAUCUCCCUGAGGUCCCUCUCUAUCUCUCCACACAUCCACCAACCACUGGAACACAUCUCCAAAGUUCUGCCGGGCCAGCUCAGCUUCCCCUCAGAAGAAGUGCUGCCACCUGCCAGAUGAAGGAGCCUUUUGAGAGGCAGCUGGCAUCGUGAUUGGACUGUACUUUGGUCUGUUCCAGUCCAGCUUCAGCUCCAGAGACGGCAGGCGGGACGAGUCAACGGAGGCCAGGUGGACGAAGGCAUGAAGCUGAGUACAAUCCAGAAAACAACAGAGGAGGAGUGCAGUGACCCAGGGCCAGAACAAACAGAGUAUGUCUCUUAGAAAACAUCAUAGUUUAGCCUUUGGUAUGAAAAAACACCAUCAUAUACAUCAUAUAUUGUACAAAUAACAAGUCAAAGCAAAGAGACAUACAUUGUAGAAUUGUGGUAAUUGUGGGCUGACUGAUUUACUGAUUAUUAGUAUUUUAUUUUUUACGGUAAUAAAUACAUUUAAAAAUGG